AACGAACGCUGGCGGCAUGCCUAACACAUGCAAGUCGAACGAGACCUUCGGGUCUAGUGGCGCACGGGUGCGUAACGCGUGGGAACCUGCCCUUAGGUUCGGAAUAACUCCCCGAAAGGGGUGCUAAUACCGGAUAAUGUCUUCGGACCAAAGAUUUAUCGCCUUUGGAUGGGCCCGCGUUGGAUUCGCUAGUUGGUAGGGUAAAAGCCUACCAAGGCGACGAUCCAUAGCUGGUCUGAGAGGAUGAUCAGCCACACUGGGACUGAGACACGGCCCAGACUCCUACGGGAGGCAGCAGUGGGGAAUAUUGGACAAUGGGCGAAAGCCUGAUCCAGCAAUGCCGCGUAAGUGAUGAAGGCCUUAGGGUUGUAAAGCUCUUUUACCCGGGAUGAUAAUGACAGUACCGGGAGAAUAAGCACCGGCUAACUCCGUG
rnacentral:rRNA from 1 species